rnacentral:rRNA from 1 species
UACCAGCACCCCGAGUGGUCGGGACGAUUAUUGGGCCUAAAGCAUCCGUAGCCGGUCAUGCAAGUCUUCCGUUAAAUCCACCUGCUCAACAGAUGGGCUGCGGAGGAUACUAUAGAGCUAGGAGGCAGGAGAGGCAAGCGGUACUCAGUGGGUAGGGGUAAAAUCCGUUGAUCCAUUGAAGACCACCAGUGGCGAAGGCGGCUUGCCAGAAUGCGCUCGACGGUGAGGGAUGAAAGCUGGGGGAGCAAACCGG